rnacentral:rRNA from 1 species
AGCGAACGCUGGCGGCAGGCCUAACACAUGCAAGUCGAACGAACCUUUCGGGGUUAGUGGCGGACGGGUGAGUAACACGUGGGAACGUGCCUUUAGGUUCGGAAUAACUCAGGGAAACUUGUGCUAAUACCGAAUGUGCCCUUCGGGGGAAAGAUUAAUCGCCUUUAGAGCGGCCCGCGUCUGAUUAGCUAGUUGGUUGAGGUAAUGGCUCACCAAGGCGACGAUCAGUAGCUGGUCUGAGAGGAUGAUCAGACACAUUGGGACUGAGACACGGCCGAAACUCCUACGGGAGGCAGCAGUGGGGAAUCUUGCGCAACGGGCGAAAGGCUGACGCAGCCAUGCCGCGUGAAUGAUGAAGGUCUUAGGAUAGUAAAAUUCUUUCACCGGGGACGAUAAUGACGGUACCCGGAGAAGAAGCCCCGGCUAACUUCGUG